rnacentral:rRNA from 2 species
UACGUAGGUGGCAAGCGUUGUCCGGAAUUAUUGGGCGUAAAGCGCGCGCAGGCGGUCCUUUAAGUCUGAUGUGAAAGCCCACGGCUCAACCGUGGAGGGUCAUUGGAAACUGGGGGACUUGAGUACAGAAGAGAAGAGUGGAAUUCCACGUGUAGCGGUGAAAUGCGUAGAGAUGUGGAGGAACACCAGUGGCGAAGGCGACUCUUUGGUCUGUAACUGACGCUGAGGCGCGAAAGCGUGGGGAGCAAACAGG